UACGUAGGGUGCGAGCGUUGUCCGGAAUUAUUGGGCGUAAAGAGCUUGUAGGCGGUUUGUCGCGUCUGCUGUGAAAAUCCGGGGCUCAACCCCGGACUUGCAGUGGGUACGGGCAGACUAGAGUGUGGUAGGGGAGACUGGAAUCCUGGCGUAGCGGUGAAUGCGCAGAGUAUCAGGAGGAACACCGAUGGCGAAGGCAGGUCUCUGGGCCACUACUGACGCUGAGAAGCGAAAGCAUGGGGAGCGAACAGG
rnacentral:rRNA from 1 species